rnacentral:rRNA from 1 species
AUACGGGGGGAACAAGCGUUGUUCGGAUUCACUGGGCGUAAAGAGCACGUAGGCGGAAGGAUAAGUCAGAUGUGAAAUCCCGGGGCUCAACCGCGGGUCUGCAUUUGAUACUGUCUUUCUUGAGUACGAGAGAGGAUGGCGGAAUUCCUGGUGUAGCGGUGAAAUGCGUAGAUAUCAGGAAGAACACCGGUGGCGAAGGCGGCCAUCUGGCUAGAUACUGACGCUGAGGUGCGAAGGCUGGGGGAGCAAACAGGAUUAGAUACCCUGGUAGUCC